rnacentral:lncRNA from 1 species
GCCUGUUAGGCACAGUCUCAGUGGAACCAACAAGUUCUGCCUCAAUUCUGACCUAAAUCUGAUUCUGGAUCAGAGAUCAAAGCAGGGCUCGGCUCGGAACUUCCCAUGACUUUUCUGAAGAACAUCCGUCCAGAACUUUAACACUGCCUCCACCUUAGAUCAGAGUCUCUCAUCUUCUCUGUCAAGCAUCUCUGAGGUGCGUUCAGGUACUGCAGUAAAUGUGAAAGAGGAUGACCUCACCCGAGCUUUGAGACGACCUCCUCUGCCUGUUCCUGAGGUCCAAACCAGAACUUUUCAGGCCCAGUUCGGUUUCAUGUGAACAGAGUGAUGUUCAUCCAGAUUGUUGUCUUUUCUAUUUCAGUGUUUGGACGUCAGACAUUAGUUCUCGUUCAGUGAAACUAACGUCGGGCCUGCUGAUUUAAUGACGUGAAUUGUGUUUCCGGUCUGGCCUCGCAGGUGUUUGUUCACCUGAGCCAGAUUGAGGUCAUAGUGCCUGAAAGUCCGGACUGCACUCAAACGCAGCAGUACCUGACACCUGUUGUUCGGAUGGAGCAAAAGCAGUGGACACUGAUGGAAGAUCCCCAGACUUUUUGUUUACCUUGUUGUCCUGCUUCCGGCAAUGUCUGUA